rnacentral:lncRNA from 1 species
GCUUCACCCUUAGUAUUGGGCAGCCUGAGCAUGGGUCCACCACUAAGAAAAUUUGAAAUACAGACUAUGACUAAAGCAGUAAUGAAGUCUAAACCCAGCCUUGUUACAGACUCGAUACUAAUGAAACUUGUGUCAUUAACAGCCUGAUGGAAGAAAGGAAUUCUCCAUUUUAGGGAGUAUUUACCUCACAAAAUAUAUUUUGCACACACUGUGUAGCAUUCAGUAUAAACUAAUGGCACAUAACACAUUCUCCAAAUAAUGAUAUGGCUACUUGUCAAGAGAUAAAAUAAUCAAUAGAACCAGACCAAAGUUGGCCCAAAUGUUAAAAUUAUCAGACAGGAACUGUAAAAUAACUGUGAUAAAUAUGUUAAAAUGAUCUAGUGGAAAAGGUGGGCAACAUGCAUGACAGAGAAUUCCAUCAGAGUUAUGGAAAGUAUUAAAAAGAGCUAAAUGAAAAUACUAGAAAUGAAAAAUGAGAUGUCAGGCAUGAAAAUUUUGUUGGUGAAUUUAGGAAAUGGGACACAACUGAAGAAAGAAUCAAUAAAGACCUGUCAAUAGAAAUCACCUGAACAGAAACAAAAAGAGAAAAGAGUUUCAAAAAUGAAACAGCAUUUGAGCUAUAAGGGAUAAAACGAAAAAGUCUAAUGCACUUUUCAUUGGAAUCCUAGAAAAAAAAAUGAGAGAGAAAAGGGCAGAAAAAAAUAUUUGAAGAGAUAGGGACCAAAUAUUUUCCAAAACUAAUGAAAAAAAGUCAAACCACCAUAAGUCUAAGGAGCUUAGAUAACUCCAAUCAGGAUCAUUGUUAAAUUGCUGGAAAAGGACAAAGAAAAAUAUUUACCAUAGAUUUAUCAUAAACAUAGAGGAAUGAUGACAAGAAUGAGAAUUGACUUUUCAUUAGAAAUCCUAGAAACCAGAGGCAAUGGGAUGUCAUCUUUAGAGUGCCACAAGGAAAAACAAACCAACAAGCCAACCCAUGUCAACCUAGGAUUCUAUAUCCAGUGAAAAUAUUCUUUAAAAAUGAGGAUGAAAUAGAGACAUAGUCACACAAACAACAGCUGAAAGAAUCAAUUUCCAGAAGAGCAGGAAAUGCUAAAUGGAGUUCUAUGGGCUAAAAGAAAAUUAUUUCAAAAGACAACCUGGUCCUCCAGGAAGGACUAGUAUGAAUGAAAACACCAGAAAGAGUGAAUGAGACCAUAAAUUCAAAGCACUUUUAUGAGUCUUUAAAGAUAGUUGGUCAUUUGAAGUAAAAAUAACAAAGGAAUACGGAUGUUUAUUGUCUUUUAGAUCUAAAACCUAUGGCAACAAAGGCACAAAGGGUGAGAGUGUUGUAACUGCAAAUAUACUGUCAUUAGUUCCUAAGCUGUUCAGGAAGUGAUAAAAUAUUUUUUGAAAGUUAAGUGAUAAAUAUAAACAUGUAAUCUCUGGAGACAUCACUAAAAUAAAAUACAAAUAGGCAUGCCUAACAUCAGUAGGGAAGAUGAAAUGAAAUAUUAAAAAUACUGGCUUAAUUCCAAAAAUUCAGGAUAGGAGGAACAGAAAAACAAAGGGCAUGAAGGACCAAUAAUAAUCAAACACAAAUUUGAUAUAUUUAAAUUGAAAAUAUAUAAAUAAUUGAAUUGCAUGUAAAUGGAUUAACCUUCCCAAUUUAAAAGGCAGACAUUGUCAGACAAUAAAGAUGCAAGACUGAACUACACCUGGUUUAUAGGAAAUACCCUUUAAGUAUAAAGUCACAAACAGAAGGAAAAUUAAAAGUUGGGAAAAGAUACCAUGCAAACACUAUGUGUAAGAAAACAGUUGGAGCUAUAUUAAUAUCAGAAUGAGUAGACUUCAAGGUGACAAAAAGAUUAAAGGGGCAUUUUAUGAUGACAUUAAGUGUUAAUUAAUCACAAAGACAUAAAAAUCUAAAAUUUAAACCUCAGAGCAAAGCUCCAAAACACAUGAAGCAAAAAUUGACAGACCUGAAGCUGAAUCAAAGCUGAAGAAUUUGAGACCAUUUUCUCAGUAAUUGAUCUAUUGAAAGAUGAUCGUGUGGAAGAUUUGAACAACACUGUCAAUAACCUGAUCUAAUUUACGUUUAUUGAACACUCCACCCAACACAAGCAAGACGCAUGUGCUUUCAAGUGUACUUGGAGCAUUCCUCGACAUAGACCAUAAGCCUGAUCAUAAAACAAGUCUAAAUAAAUUUUAAUAAUUUAAUUCUAAGAAUGUUCUCUGAACAAAAUGGAAUUAAAGUUGAAAUCAAUGACAAUAGGAUGCCUACAGAAUCCCUCAAAUAUUUGGAAAUUUAAAAAAUUAUUGGACUACAUACAGGAGUUCGUGCAGGACUAAAUAGCCAAUGAGUCAAAGAGUCACAAAGGACAUUGGAAAAUACUUUAAUGAUAACAAAAAGAUGACAUCAAAAUUUGUGGGAUACAAUGCACAGGUUUUAAAUGUUUAUUUUUUUAUUAUAGUUGGUUUACAAUGCUCUGUCAAUUUCUGCUAUACAGCAAAGUGACCCAGUUAUACACACAUAUAUAGUCUUUUUCUCACUUUAUCCUCCAUCAUGUUCCAUCACAUGUGAUUAGAUAGAGGUCCCUGUGCUAUACAGCAGGAUCUCAUUGCUUAUCCACUCCAAAUACAAUAGUUUGCAACUACUAACUUCAAACUCCCAGUCCAUCCCACUCCCUCCCCCUACCCCUCGGCAACCACAAAUCUGUCCUCCAUGCCUAUGACUUGUUUCUUUUCUAUAAAUAGGCUCAUUUGUACCAUAUAUUAGAUUCCAGAAAAAAAAGUGAUAUCAUAUGGUAUUUGUCUUUCUCUUUCUGACUUACUUCACUUGGUAUGAGAGUCUAGUUCCAUCCAUGUUGCUGCAAAUGGCAUUAUUUUGUUCUUUGUUUAUGGCUGAGUAGUAUUUCAUUGUGUAUAUAUACCACUUCUUCCUAAUCCAUUCAUCUGUGGAAGGACAUUUAGGUUGUUUCCAUGUUUCGGCCAUUGUGAAUAGUGCUGCAGUGAACAUAGGGGUGCAUGUAAUUUUCAAUGAAAGUUUUGUCCCCAAAUCAAUUACUUUUGUUUUCACCUUAAAACGUUUAUAAGAAAUGAGCUUGUAAAUGAGCUAAUUAAACCAAAAUAAGAGUGAAAAUCAGAAAACAGAAAUCAAAUACUAGAGCAAAUCAGAAAGAUUAAUAUUGAUUUGUUAAAAAGAUUAAUUGAUAAACACCUAGAAAAUUUGUUAUUUCAUGGAUAUAAAUUUCAGUUUUGCAAGAUGAAAAGUUCUGGAGAUCAAUUAACAACAGUGUAAAUAUACAUUCUGGGAAUUGGUUAACAACAAUGUGAAUAUACGUAAGACUUAGAAAUGCUUAUGAGGAUAGAUUUUACAUUUUGUUUUUUUUAACUGCUAAAAAAAUUAUAGGAGUUCCCGUUGUAGCUCAGGGGAAAUGAAUCUGACUAGCAUCCAUGAGGACGCAGGUUCAAACCCUGGCCUUGCUCAGUGGGUUAAGGAUCCGGCGUUGCUGUGAGCUGUGGUGUAGGUUGCAGACGCAGCUUGGAUCCCGUGGUGUUGUGGCUGUGACUGUGGCUGGCACCUACAGCUCUGAUGAGACCCCUAGCCUGGGAACCUCCACAUAAUGUGGGUGCAGC